rnacentral:rRNA from 1 species
GACGAACGCUGGCGGCAUGCCUAAUACAUGCAAGUCGAGCGAACAGAUGAAGUGGUUGCACUUCUGACGUUAGCGGCGAACGGGUGAUUAACACGUAAGGAAUCUACCUAUAAGCGGGGGAUAAUAUUCGGAAACGGGUGCUAAUACCGCAUAAUAUCUUCUUCCGCAUGGAAGAAGAUUGAAAGACAGCUCUGCUGUUACUGAUAGAUGACCUUGCGGUGCAUUAGUUAGUUGGUGGGUAACGGCCUACCAAGACGAUGAUGCAUAGCCGACCUGAGAGGGUGAUCGGCCACAUUGGGACUGAGACACGGCCCAAACUCCUACGGGAGGCAGCAGUAGGGAACCUUCCGCAAUGGGCGAAAGCCUGACGGAGCAAUGCCGCGUGAGUGAAGAAGGCCUUCGGGUCGUAAAACUCUGUUAUAAGAGAAGAACAAAUUGUAGAGUAACUGCUACAGUCUUGACGGUAUCUUAUCAGAAAGCCACGGCUAACUACGUGCCAGCAGCCGCCGUAA